GGCCAUUGCGGAGCUGCCAGGCCAUGAUAGGGCCAUUGCGGAGCUGCCAGGCCUUGAUUGUGCCAAUGCGGAGCUGCCAGGCCUUGAUUGUGCCAAAACUGGACAGCCAGAUCUUGAUUGAGCCAAUAUACUGCGGUUAUCUAUGCACGGCAGCCAGCUCUCAAUGAUGCCAAUGCUGGGAAGCCAUGACCAAUGACUCAGGACCUUGUCCCGCAAAAGAUGCUUUUGAUUCCGAGUGGGAUGGGGAGCGGCUGUCACCCGAGAGCUAUGUCGCAAAGGAUUGUUGCACAAGUUAGCGCAGACCCAGUCUGGACCGCAGACCAUCUUCUUAGGAAUCCAGAUGGCUUAGUUCAAGCGCUAGCGGUAUUAGAUGAAGAGGAACGUCAACGCCUGGAAAACGUUCUAUUCGAGAUCCUUCUCUCACUGGAAAAAAAGCCUAGGGUCGACAAAAACAAAAAUCGCAUUUACACCUCGUUGAUCAAACUUUCAUGCAGUGACUGCAGGGAAUCAGUGACACGACAUACGUUAUAAUUUCUAUUGGAGGCGGUGACGAGGGAUGUGGCGAGGAAUGUGUCAGAAGGCUUCUCCUUCCUGCUGAGGAAGCUCUUCGACAAUCGAUCCUACACAAACGUAGAGUGACCAAAUUUGACAAAGAACCGCUUACCAUGCAAAAGUAGCAUGCAAGAGCUAAGACUUAAUUUUCCUCUCCCAGUUUAAUAUUUUUUAUGCAAUUGAUGCCUUCGCCACAAAUAAUAAGUUAAUUAACAGAUUUGGUUUGAAAUUUGAAAUUUUCAUUUAGCACUUUCACUAAUAUCUUCUUUUUUGGAUUUGCUUUCCUAGUCAGUCUGUUUCCCAUUGCAUUUAUUUUGGAGUAUACAUUAGUAUGACUGGAUCCAGGGGGUGCAGGAAAAGGGAAAUGUCAAGAAAGUGCUCAAUCCAAUUAUUUGCAUUACUGUUAUAUUUCUUUAUCAAACCUUUCAA